GACGAACGCUGGCGGCGUGCCGAAUACAUGCAAGUCGAGCGGAAGUUGGAGAGCUUGCUCUUCAACUUUAGCGGCGGACGGGUGAGUAACACGUGGGCAACCUGCCCUGCAGAUCGGGAUAACUCCGGGAAACCGGUGCUAAUACCGAAUAGUUUUCGCCUCCUCCUGGUGGCGCACGGAAAGACGGUUUCGGCUGUGACUGCAGGAUGGGCCCGCGGCGAAUUAGCUAGUUGGUGGGGUAACGGCCCACCAAGGCGACGAUGCGGAGCCGACCUGAGAGGGUGAUCGGCCACACUGGGACUGAGACACGGCCCAGACUCCUACGGGAGGCAGCAGUAGGGAAUCUUCCGCAAUGGACGAAAGUCUGACGGAGCAACGCCGCGUGAGUGACGAAGGUUUUCGGAUCGUAAAACUCUGUUGUGAGGGAAGAACAAGUACCACUUAACUACUGGUACCUUGACGGUACCUCACCAGAAAGCCACGGCUAACUACGUGCCAGCUGCCGCCGUAAAAC
rnacentral:rRNA from 1 species